rnacentral:rRNA from 1 species
AUUGAACGCUGGCGGCAGGCUCAACACAUGCAAGUCGAGCGGGGUGAUGGUGCUUGCACUAUCACUUAGCGGCGGACGGGUGAGUAAUGCUUAGGAAUCUGCCUAUUAGUGGGGGACAACAUCUCGAAAGGGAUGCUAAUACCGCAUACGUCCUACGGGAGAAAGCAGGGGAUCACUUGUGACCUUGCGCUAAUAGAUGAGCCUAAGUCGGAUUAGCUAGUUGGUGGGGUAAAGGCCUACCAAGGCGACGAUCUGUAGCGGGUCUGAGAGGAUGAUCCGCCACACUGGGACUGAGACACGGCCCAGACUCCUACGGGAGGCAGCAGUGGGGAAUAUUGGACAAUGGGGGGAACCCUGAUCCAGCCAUGCCGCGUGUGUGAAGAAGGCCUUAUGGUUGUAAAGCACUUUAAGCGAGGAGGAGGCUCUUUUGGUAAAUACCCAAGAUGAGUGGACGUUACUCGCAGAAUAAGCACCGGCUAACUCUGUGCCAGCAGCCGCAGUAA